AAUGAACGUUGGCGGCAUGGAUUAGGCAUGCAAGUCGAGCGAGAAGGCUUAGUUUGACGCUUCGGUUGAUUUCUAAGCUGGACAGCGGCGAAAGGGUGAGUAACGCGUAGUUACCUGCCUCAGGGUCUGGAAUAGCCUCGGGAAACUGAGGGUAAUGCCAGAUAAUAUCUCCGGAUCAAAGGUGUGAUUCCGCCCUGAGAGGGGACUGCGUCCUACUAGCUUGUUGGUGGGGUAAUGGCCUACCAAGGCUCCGAUGGGUAGCGGGCGUGAGAGCGUGGCCCGUCACACUGGGACUGAGACACUGCCCAGACACCUACGGGUGGCUGCAGUCGAGAAUCUUCGGCAAUGGACGAAAGUCUGACCGAGCAAUGCCGCGUGCGGGAUGAAGGCCUCGGGUUGUAAACCGCUGUCAGUUGGAGGAAGGCCCCGUGAAGAGCGGGGUUUGACCCAUCUUCAGAGGAAGUCCGGGCUAAGUUCGUGCC
rnacentral:rRNA from 1 species